CGACUCGAGCGCAGCGAGAGAACGUUGCGUCAGCAACGGCCCGCAGGGCGAGCCACGCAGUGGCGAGUCAUCCUCUAUCACCGACCA
rnacentral:sRNA from 1 species